CUCAAGGGAACUCAGCAGUGAUAAACAUUAAGCCAUAAGUGAAAACUUGACUUAGUUAAAGCUAAGAGGGCCGGUAAAACUCGUGCCAGCCACCGCGGUUAUACGAGAGGCCCAAGUUGACAAACACCGGCGUAAAGAGUGGUUAAGUUAAAACGCAUACUAAAGCCAAACGUCUUCAAGGCUGUUAUACGCAACCGAAGACAGGAAGUUCAACCACGAAGGUGGCUUUACCUACCUGAACCCACGAAAGCUAAGGAACAAACUGGGAUUAGAUACCCCACUAUGCCUAGCCCUAAACAUUGAUAGUACUAUACACCCACUAUCCGCCCGGGAACUACGAGCAAUAGCUUAAAACCCAAAGGACUUGGCGGUGCUUUAGAUCCACCUAGAGGAGCCUGUUCUAGAACCGAUACCCCCCGUUCAACCUCACCCUUCCUUGUUUAACCCGCCUAUAUACCGCCGUCGUCAGCUUACCCUGUGAGGGACUAAUAGUAAGCAAAGCUGGUACAACCUUAAACGUCAGGUCGAGGUGUAGCGUAUGGAGGGGGAAGAAAUGGGCUACAUUCGCUUCUACAGCGAACACGAAUGAUGCACUGAAACGUACAUCUGAAGGAGGAUUUAGCAGUAAGCAGGAAAUAGAGCGUCCCGCUGAAACUGGCCCUGAAGCGCGCACACACCGCCCGUCACUCUCCCCAAAGACGCAAUCAAUUAACUAAAAUCUAAUAAUUAAAAAGGGGAGGC
rnacentral:rRNA from 1 species